UGGGGCAGCCGCCAUCCUGCAAUGGCCUUUCCUAUUCCCAGAGUGGCUUUGGCACCCGCUUCCCACAGGACUCUCAAUGUCUUGGCUUCAGCAUGGAAGCCACGGCCCACUAGUGUCACGGCACACCCUGCUCCCACACUACAUCCUGCUAAAAGGAGUGCGCCAUGGUCAGCUGUAGACUCCUCAAGGAUUUGGAUACUUUUUGCUGUUCUCCUGUCUGCUGUCCAUUGCCGCGUGGUGGGCAGCCCCAUGGAGCCGUGACUAACACAAUCAUCCUCUCAUGACAUCGCAGGGCUUCUCUGUGAGAGCUGCAGAGCUGGGCAGCCGGGACUCCUCUUUAUGCUACUUUGUGUGUCCGCAAGCGGCCACAGGUGAACCCAGACCCAAGGGGGACAAGCAGACCCAGCUCUCCCCGAGAGACGUGUGAGGACACUGGCCUUUAGUCAUCACCCACACCGUGCUUCCCCUUGGCUUUGCCCACCGUGUGCCCACGCUCCCAGGGCCCCUCAGAUGGCCCAGCAAUGCAAUGCCAGCAGUAGCCUCAGCGCAAUGAUCUCGUGUGAGCCUCAAAGGAGCAGAGGGACCACUGGACACGCCUCUCAGACCUCGGUCGCUUGAGGGACCUGCCUCAACAUCUGAGCCUUGGUCUCCCGGUCUUCUUUCAAGGAUAUUGCCAGAAUUGGCACCAGAGACAGUGGCUGGGCACUAAAACAAGGCUCCAGAUAACUGACCCUGUCUUCCUUGGCCUGUGGGG